rfam:Danio rerio chromosome 4, GRCz11 reference primary assembly.
GCAUUGGUGGUUAAGUGUUAGAAUUCUCGCCUCCCAAGCAGGAGACCCAGGUCCGAUUCCUGGCAUAUGCA